UAGCCGUAAACGAUACUCGCUAGGUGUCGGCCACGGUGCGACCGUUGUCGGUGCCGUAGGGAAGCCGUGGAGCGAGCCACCUGGGAAGUACGGCCGCAAGGCUGAAACUUAAAGGAAUUGGCGGGGGAGCACAACAACGGGUGGAGCUUGCGGUUUAAUUGGAUUCAACGCCGGAAAUCUUACCGGGACCGACAGCAACAUGAAGGCCAAGCUGAAGACUUUGCCGGAUUAGCUGAGAGGUGGUGCAUGGCGUGUGACUGU
rnacentral:rRNA from 1 species